rnacentral:rRNA from 1 species
UGCCUAAAACAUAGUGUUAAUGCAUCGGAUCCCAUUAGAAAUCUGCAGUUAAGUGUGCUCAAGAUGGAGUAGUAUUGGGAUGGGUGAUCUCCCAAGAAGUCCUAUUAUUUUACAUGC